rnacentral:rRNA from 1 species
CCCUUAGAUGUUCUGGGCCGCACGCGUGCUACACUGACCGGCGCAACAAGUUUCUUUCCUUGGCUCGAUAGGCCUGGGUAAUCUUUGAACGCCGGUCGUGAUGGGGAUAGAUCCUUGCAAUUUUUGAUCUUCAACGAGGAAUUCCUAGUAAAUGCGAGUCAUCAUCUCGCGUUGAUUACGUCCCUGCCCUUUGUACACACCGCCCGUCGCACCUACCGAUUGAAUUGUCCGGUGAAGCCUCGGGAUUGCGAAUGCUUCGUGCGGACGCGAGAACUUGGCUAAACCUUACCAUUUAGAGGAAGGUGAAGUCGUAACA